rnacentral:tRNA from 1 species
AAAGCCUUAAGUUAAAUAAACUAUUAACCUUCAAAGUUAAAAAUACAAGAAAUUGACCUUGAAGGCUUUA